GCAGGCCAGUGUACCUGCCCCAUCUGGCGUCCCACUCCUGAGGUAUGCCUUCCCUCCCAAAUGACCCCUUUCAGAUCAAGUACAAGGCAUCUCUUCUCAACUGGAGGCUUCCCCCAACACCAGGGUAUUUUAUAUCAUGUUGAACAGUCUGUCAAGAAACGACUGCCUGAUGAUUUGUUGAAAGAUGAUUUGCCUACAUCACAUUGAAAAAGGAGAUGGGUAAAGCAACAAGACUUAGUCAAAGGCCAGUAGCAGUUUUAAAGAGGAGAAAGAAUCAGCAGAUACCUCAUGUCUGGAUUGAGCCCUACUCUUCCAUUCCAGGAUUUCAUUCAUGCUUUCAAAUAUACCAUGCUUGUAGCCAAAAAAUUAAAAAUUAA